GUCGAGAAUAAUUCACAAUGGACGAAAGUCUGAUGGUGCAACGCCGCGUGGAGGAUGAAGGUCUUCGGAUUGUAAACUCCUGUCAUCGGGGAGUAAGACCUGGCGGUAAAUAGCCGACAGGGUUGAUAGUACCCGAAGAGGAAGGGACGGCUAACUUCGUGCCAGCAGCCGCGGUAAUACGAAGGUCCCAAGCGUUGUUCGGAAUCACUGGGCGUAAAGGGAGCGUAGGCGGCGUGGUAAGUCAGAUGUGAAAUCCCGGGGCUCAACCCCGGAACUGCAUCCGAUACUGCCAUGCUUGAGGGUUGGAGAGGGAGCUGGAAUUCUCGGUGUAGCAGUGAAAUGCGUGGAUAUCGAGAGGAACACUCGUGGCGAAGGCGAGCUACUGGACAACAUCUGACGCUGAGGCUCGAAGGCCAGGGGAGCAAAAGGGAUUAGAAACCCUAGUAGUCC
rnacentral:rRNA from 1 species